rnacentral:tRNA from 1 species
GGUAUUGUAGCUCAUUGGUAGAGUGUUUGCUUUGCACACGGGAAGCCCUGGGUUCGAUCCUCAGCACCA